rnacentral:rRNA from 1 species
UACGUAGGGCGCAAGCGUUGUCCGGAAUUAUUGGGCGUAAAGAGAUCGUAGGCGGCUUGUCACGUCGAUUGUGAAAGCCCGAGGCUUAACCUCGGGUCUGCAGUCGAUACGGGCUAGCUAGAGUGUGGUAGGGGAGAUCGGAAUUCCUGGUGUAGCGGUGAAAUGCGCAGAUAUCAGGAGGAACACCGGUGGCGAAGGCGGAUCUCUGGGCCAUUACUGACGCUGAGGAGCGAAAGCGUGGGGAGCGAACAGG